UACAGAGGGUGCGAGCGUUGUCCGGAAUUACUGGGCGUAAAGGACGCGUAGGCGGCCUGAUAAGUCGGGGGUGAAAGUCAGCGGCUCAACCGCUGGACUGCCUUCGAGACUGUCGGGCUUGAGCAUGGUAGAGGCUGGCGGAAUUCCCGGUGUAGCGGUGGAAUGCGUAGAGAUCGGGAAGAACAUCGGUGGCGAAGGCGGCCAGCUGGGCCAUUGCUGACGCUGAUGCGCGACAGCGUGGGGAGCAAACAGG
rnacentral:rRNA from 1 species